CCUGUUUCUGUCCCUGGAUUUACGCCCCAGCCUAACCACUGGUUUAUUCAGCCUGAGCCCGCUUGGCUCUUAAGUCUGCCUGGAAUUAUUGUCAAGAGGACAAUCGCAGCUCUCUGUGUUCCUGUCAGUUUCAGCUGAUUCCCCGGAGGAUUUGAAUCGGUCAGCAAUCCAACUUCAGUCGGUCGGACGCUUCCUCAUUAACUGUCUGGAUCACUUCCUCCUCUGGAUUCUGUUUCUCAUCUCCAGACUGAGAAGUGGUUCCUGGAAGCUGACUGCUGUUCUCCUGCUCUCUGAUCCUGAGUUUCUGAAUAAACCUAUUAACUUAUCACUUUGUGCUUGGCUGAAUUUGGGUUCUCUGUCUCUGGUCAUGAAAUUCCUGCUGCAAAAUCACAAGACGGUCGACAUUUUUCUCUGGGUCUGAGCCAAAUAAAGGAGUGUCUGACAGCAUCUGCUUUGUUUAAACUUUUACCAUAUGCCACAUAAAUUUACCUUUUAUUGCUAAAAUGAAGUAUUCAGGUGGCAGAUUUCAGAGAAAGGGGAGUGCUGGUUUACAUCAGAGUAACGAUGUCUGUCUGAGUAACAACAGAAGUAGAAAUUGUAAUCUACGCAAAUGCUGUCAUUUUGGAGUAGUUUUUAAGCCUCCCCUUAAAACCCUACAGUUCUAUUGCUUCUCCUGCAAUUUAUCACUACCAAACUGAAUGCAUUGAGAUUUAGGUGCCUUUUGUGACCAUGGUUACAAAAUUAUGGUGUCAGAUUUGGAUUGAUUGCAUUUUGUAAUGGUUCUGGUCAAAGCUUUUAAUGGAGCAGCAUUGGAAUCUGUGGAAGACAUGCUUAGAGUAUUGAAGUCUACUUAUGUAACCCUUCUUCAGCUUGUACUCCAUCCAAGUAUGUAUCCCACAAUUGAUUAAAUCAUUAAACCUUU